rnacentral:rRNA from 1 species
AUGGACAAACAGUACUCCAAGAUCUAUAAGCAAGCACAGAAGAUGGACAAACAGAAGAUGGGUGUCACUUUGGCAAGUUUCGAAAGGCUGAUGGGUUCAUUAGUAAGCAAGCACAGAGACACAACGAGACAUGCACAAAUAUUCAGAGGCGUCAAUGAAAGGCAAAGCAUUACAGAAGAUGGACAAACCGUACUCCAAGAUCUGAAAAAUAGGAAUUUUUCACCAUCUAGCGCUUGCAAUCAAAAUCAUCUGAAUGGGAGAUAUGAGAACGAUCCAUCAUAUCUCGACACAUUCUUGCUGACAGUGCAAGUUUCAAAGGGCUGUGGAUGUGAGAGACUGACCAGAAUUGCUGCCAGUGGGAGGUGUAUGGAGAUGGAACAUAUAGCUUUCAUCCAAAAAAAAGGCUUCCUACAACACACAAAUCAAGGUUUCCAACAAAAAUUAACUCAAAAAAUCGCUCACAUCUAA